GCGUAGUCGAUGGGAAACAGGUUAAUAUUCCUGUACUUGGUGUUACUGCGAAGGGGGGACGGAGAAGGCUAUGUUGGCCGGGCGACGGUUGUCCCGGUUUAAGCGCGUAGGCUGAUUUUCCAGGCAAAUCCGGAAAAUCAAGGCUGAGGCGUGAUGACGAGGCACUACGGUGCUGAAGCAACAAAUGCCCUGCUUCCAGGAAAAGCCUCUAAGCAUCAGGUAACAUCAAAUCGUACCCCAAACCGACACAGGUGGUCAGGUAGAGAAUACCAAGGCGCUUGAGAGAACUCGGGUGAAGGAACUAGGCAAAAUGGUGCCGUAACUUCGGGAGAAGGCACGCUGAUAUGUAGGUGAAGUCCCUCGCGGAUGGAGCUGAAAUCAGUCGAAGAUACCAGCUGGCUGCAACUGUUUAUUAAAAACACAGCACUGUGCAAACACGAAAGUGGACGUAUACGGUGUGACGCCUGCCCGGUGCCGGAAGGUUAAUUGAUGGGGUCAGCGCAAGCGAAGCUCUUGAUCGAAGCCCCGGUAAACGGCGGCCGUAACUAUAACGGUCCUAAGGUAGCGAAAUUCCUUGUCGGGUAAGUUCCGACCUGCACGAAUGGCGUAAUGAUGGCCAGGCUGUCUCCACCCGAGACUCAGUGAAAUUGAACUCGCUGUGAAGAUGCAGUGUACCCGCGGCAAGACGGAAAGACCCCGUGAACCUUUACUAUAGCUUGACACUGAACAUUGAGCCUUGAUGUGUAGGAUAGGUGGGAGGCUUUGAAGUGUGGACGCCAGUCUGCAUGGAGCCGGCCUUGAAAUACCACCCUUUAAUGUUUGAUGUUCUAACGUGGACCCGUAAUCCGGGUUGCGGACAGUGUCUGGUGGGUAGUUUGACUGGGGCGGUCUCCUCCUAAAGAGUAACGGAGGAGCACGAAGGUUGGCUAAUCCUGGUCGGACAUCAGGAGGUUAGUGCAAUGGCAUAAGCCAGCUUGACUGCGAGCGUGACGGCGCGAGCAGGUGCGAAAGCAGGUCAUAGUGAUCCGGUGGUUCUGAAUGGAAGGGCCAUCGCUCAACGGAUAAAAGGUACUCCGGGGAUAACAGGCUGAUACCGCCCAAGAGUUCAUAUCGACGGCGGUGUUUGGCACCUCGAUGUCGGCUCAUCACAUCCUGGGGCUGAAGUAGGUCCCAAGGGUAUGGCUGUUCGCCAUUUAAAGUGGUACGCGAGCUGGGUUUAGAACGUCGUGAGACAGUUCGGUCCCUAUCUGCCGUGGGCGCUGGAGAACUGAGGGGGGCUGCUCCUAGUACGAGAGGACCGGAGUGGACGCAUCACUGGUGUUCGGGUUGUCAUGCCAAUGGCACUGCCCGGUAGCUAAAUGCGGAAGAGAUAAGUGCUGAAAGCAUCUAAGCACGAAACUUGCCCCGAGAUGAGUUCUCCCUGACCCUUUAAGGGUCCUGAAGGAACGUUGAAGACGACGACGUUGAUAGGCCGGGUGUGUAAGCGCAGCGAUGCGUUGAGCUAACCGGUACUAAUGAACCGUGAGGCUUAACCUUACAACGCCGAAG
rnacentral:rRNA from 1 species